GAUGAACGCUGGCGGCGUGCUUAACACAUGCAAGUCGAACGGUAACAGGCCGCAAGGUGCUGACGAGUGGCGAACGGGUGAGUAAUGCAUCGGAACGUGCCCAGUCGUGGGGGAUAACGCAGCGAAAGCUGUGCUAAUACCGCAUACGAUCUAUGGAUGAAAGCGGGGGACCGUAAGGCCUCGCGCGAUUGGAGCGGCCGAUGUCAGAUUAGGUAGUUGGUGGUGUAAAGGCCCACCAAGCCAACGAUCUGUAGCUGGUCUGAGAGGACGACCAGCCACACUGGGACUGAGACACGGCCCAGACUCCUACGGGAGGCAGCAGUGGGGAAUUUUGGACAAUGGGCGCAAGCCUGAUCCAGCAAUGCCGCGUGCAGGAAGAAGGCCUUCGGGUUGUAAACUGCUUUUGUACGGAACGAAACGGUCUGGGUUAAUACCCUGGGCUAAUGACGGUACCGUAAGAAUAAGCACCGGCUAACUACGUGCCAGCAGCCGCCGUAACAC
rnacentral:rRNA from 1 species